UUUCCCCCCUCCCCUCCUCCUCUUGACUCCUGCUCCCUCUUUCCUCCCGCCCCGCCCCUCUCUGUCUCUCGAAACGCGUGAACGCGCACGGUCCUCCGGAUGCUGCACGGCACGCGCCUGAUGGUGCUUUCAGGGUUUGUGGAUGAGCAUCGGCCUCAGCAGUACGGUAAAGGGAAAACGAACUUAAAAAUGAGCUGUCGCAGGUCACCUUCCAUGGAGUCAUGUUGAACCGCCUUGUUCCUACAGUAGCCCAGAACAGACAAACCAAACACAGACUGUAGAUCGGGCUUUUGCAUUUUUUUGUGAGUUUCGCAGCCACUGUAGUUUCUCCUACACACUCCACAGCCCGUUCUCAUGCCCAGGUCGUCAAAUAGAGACGCCAGUAGUGUUCAGUUAGUUGCAAUCUGCAACUUCACCACUAGAUGCCACUAAAUCCUCUGGAUCCUGAAUCCACUGGUCCUUUAACUAAGUAUAAUAUACUUAAAUAACGCAUGUACUUUAUUACAAUCUUGAGGUACUUUACACGAGUGUUUACAUUUCAUGCUAUUUAUACUUUUUAUAUUUAUACUCCAUUACACUGCAGUGAGGUUAAUUAUUAUACUUUUUACUCCACCACAUAACCUAAGUUACUUGAUAUGAUAUUAUAGAUCAGAUGAGGCUUUAUUGAUGAUAGUAGGAAAUUCACAGACUACAGCAGUAUAUCAAGAAAUUAAAAUAAGCAACAAAAUAAAACUCACCUAAAUUUCAACUGUCAUCUUGUUUUUUAGGCAUCUGGGUCCUUGAGAAAACGUCCUGUAUGUACUGAAAAGUGAAAUAUGAAUGAUGAUGUUUUGGAAACAGUUCUGUCUAUUGCUGUUUUGCCCUGACAAUGUGUGGGAUUUAUCAUGUAACUUUACCUGUCUGCACUAAUCAUGUGACUACUUGCCAACAUGUAGCCCAUGAGGUGGCCAUUUUGUGGUUUGUAAGUAUGACAAAGUAGCCAUGAGACAUUAAAGGCUUUUUUGAAUCACUACCCA